UGCCCAGUGAUGAUCCCCAUCCUUGCUCCCCGUGCCCUCAGGGGCUGUGGGCGAUAUCAUGGCUGACCCCGGGUCCGGCUGGUUGGGCUGAUGCCUGGGGGCUGAGGGCA
ensembl:snoRNA small nucleolar RNA, C/D box 23